AGCUUAUGUCAUCCUUAGAUUAAUUUUAUGAGGUAGGCAAUAUUAAUAGACCUUAAAUCACAUGAAGAUAUUUAGGUAGAUAAGCUAACACCUUCAACCUAAUUAGGAUUUUCCAACUGUUCAAAUCAGGAGCUUCUACAUAACUGCUAAAUGUCAGAGCUUCCUGGAACUGCUAUAAGGUAUACAAAUCGGUAGUGUUCCCACAAGACCUUGCUGAAAACUUUUAAACUUUUACCUAGUCAGAGCUGGUUCCACUCCAGAAAGACUCCUGAAGGAUUUAAACAUUUUAUUACUCAAUGUAAAUGAUAAUUUUCAAUGUAUUCAUUGUACCAUAUUUUUUUCUUACAGUUAGAAGAAUCUUAAGAGAUCAAUUGAAACAAUCCUGUAGUUUUAUAGAUUAAAGAAAGACUUAGGUUAAAACUCAUUUAAGUCAUUUAAGCAGCAUCAUUUGUUUAAAAUAUUGAUAAAUCGAUACUAACUUAAUUUUUUUGUCUUGAAAUAGUUUAACAUACAUUCUUAUGAGCUUGCUUCCUGGAUUGAAGCUGCCUUAUCUGAAAGCUUGGUAGUAU
rnacentral:lncRNA from 10 species